rnacentral:lncRNA from 1 species
ACCCGUACUAAUAGACAUUUCAUGAAUCAAACACCUUCUAUUUUCUAGGCCUAAACAAUAUUACAACAUAUAAGCUUUGAAUCAUUAAACCAUAAACUCUACAUAUUUUUUACUUCAAAUUGAAACCCAUGAUGUAAACUUCACCCUCAUAUGUGUAAAGAAACGACAGUAGUAGGCAUAUUCAAUUCGAAACUUCAUAGCUAACAUUAAUGCCUGACUAACAGUGGUUUUACAACAGGGUGAGUGAGCAAUCAAUAGCAACUAGUCCAAUUAGUGAGUAAUCAUAGCUUAACUAUUCAACUCAAACAAACAAAUGUAAUUAGCUACUCAUCGAGAAACAAAGAUGAAACAUAUUUCACAUUCAAACAGCAGGAACAUAUAGAAGUAGACAUGGUCAGGGAAUCAAUAUAUCAAGUUUUCAUUUCUAUACUCUAACAAAAGUUUGCAUAUGGAAAUUUACAUACCUAUAAGCAAGAAAUAGUCAGUAAAUGGCCAAAUAAAGGCUAAAAACCGGAGAUUACGCUCAUCAGACUCAGAAACCAGCAGCAAGUAAACAGAAAACCAACAAUGAAAUCCCAGAAUGAACCUCGACCUCAGUUCAAAAUUAUCUUAAGAAGACCAAAGUUGAUGAAGAAAAUCAAAACUUCUAAAACCUAUGUGAAUGAGUGUAUAUCUAUGAAAAAUGUAGAAUUCAUGUGUGUUUUUGUUCUGGAAAAAAAUGCAGAGAGAUGUUGAGAGGAGAGUGAGCUAAUGAAAAUCGGUAUUGUGAUGUGUGUGUCCUGGUAAAAAUGCAGGGGGGUCCCUUAUAUAGAAUAUGAGGGUAUACUCUAUGAGAGAAUGAGAGAGGGCCUAGGAGAAUUCUGCCAGCCUCCUAAAAAUUAGGGAAAUAACAUCUUUUCUUAACAAAAAUGGACAGAUGUCCAACUUUUCAGAUAUUCUUCCUAUUUUUCAGCAUCUUUUCUAACAUAAUUUGGUACAGUUGUUCUUUUCAUAUAUUCUUCUCUAUUUACAGCCCCCUAAAAAUCUGAAUUUGAUACUUUUUACCCAAAUCUGACCUAAUUUCUUUGUCUUAUUGCACUUUAACCCCUCUCUAGAAGCUUCUUACUCAACUACUCAAGAUUCCUAAUUUUCUUACUUCUUUUAACACCCCUGGUAUUUUAGUAACUACAAACAGCUAUCACAAAAACUUAGAUGGAUUAAAAAUCACAGCACAACAAACAAUAUUCAAACUUCAACCUAUUUUAGAUUAUUAACUUAAUUUAAACAUGUAAUUAACUAAUCAAGUUCGCUUUAGCCUAUUUAAACUGACUGUUAUGCAUCUAAAAUAUUGACCUAACACAGAAUUAAUAAAUUUUAAAUCCUAACUAAUCUAGAACAUGCUAAACAUAUGGGAAAAACACACUAAUAAUCAACUAUUGAUGCAACCUUAAACAGCUAUCAAUUGAUAAUUUAGCAAAGUCGACUAGGUAUAAUUGAAACUAAACUAAACAUGUUGUUAAUUGAACUAAGACUAAUCUAUAACAUGUAAUACAAUUAAUCAAAACACAAAAUAUCAAUCAAUUAGUCAAUCAGGCAGUUAAGUAAAGAAGUGAAAAGAAGGAUUACCAAUAGAAAAUAAAACUGCCCGAAAAAGAGAUAUUCAGCUAACAACCGACAUCGCUACAUGAGCAUUAGCCCACACUCGAAGCGUAGCCAAUGCUAUACGCGACGAUGUAUGCCAUACACCGGCAAAAGAAAGCAGCAUUAUGGGACUUUCAUGGCAGUGGCCAGAUUCUGGUGGUCUGGUAUAGGCCAACACUGACUCCAAUUGAUAAAUCUCAACGAGAGUGUUCGAUUAGUGUUGGUAUGAACCUAAGGUAGGCCGGAAUUUGGAAAAACUCGAAAUGGUGGUGGAUUUAGGUUUUUGUGACUUCUUAGAUCUAAAACCUACGGAGUUGUAGGGAUUUCUGAAGGAAAUGGUUUGGGGAUUAGGAAUGAGGAGGAGAAGGGGAUUGUAGGGUAACGAUUUGGGGUCGUUUAGCGACUGCCCGCCGCUGUAGGGCAAUUUUCGGCGGCGGCUCUGAGAGAGAGUGAGAGAUGAGAGAUGAGGGGGGGAAAUAAAAC